UAGCUCUGGUUUCUCUUAAGUCAUGCAUCAAUCUUUCACUUUUUACUAAAGAUUUUUGUUGAGAGGAACAUCAAUGUGCUUGAUGUAUUUUUGUGAGCUUUGCUCUAGUGAUUCU